rnacentral:rRNA from 1 species
AAGGGCACCACAAGAACGCGUGGAGCAUGUGGCUUAAUUUGACUCAACGCGGGAAAACUUACCGGGUCCGGACACACUGAGGAUUGACAGGCGACCAUUUGUAAAUAUGCUAGUCCUUUCAUGAUUGUGUGAUAGGUGGUGCAUGGCCGUUCUUAGUUCGUGGAGUGAUCUGUCUGCUUAAUUGCGUUUCAGAUAAAAAGGUAAUAAAGGCGUAGGUUGAGUUGGACACUUUAUUGUGUUUUUAUCUCUGACUGAGUCUACUAUCUUUGAAAGCAACGAACGUGACCGCAACCCCUUGUUGUGUACUCUUUUGUACAUCCCAACUAGGGGGACCGCCAGGGUUGUAAAACCGGAGGAAGGUUGCGGCAAUAACAGGUCUGUGAUGCCCUUAGAUGUUCCGGGCUGCACACGUGCUACAAUGAUUGUUGCAGAAAGUAUCUAUAUUUUGAUUUGUCUUUUUAAGAUUUUUUACGAUCUAUAUAAAGGACCAUGUAUGGAGCAGUUUCAUUUUUGCACUCUUUUGUGUAUUUUUGUUUCUGUUUUUUUCCAACAUGAAACCUACCUCGAAAGUUCGGUAGGCAAUCAAUUCCAAGUAACAAUCUUCCGCGCACACAUCAAAUGUUACUACAUUUCAGACCUCCGGGUUUGUCGAGUAGUUGACAUGUGCUCUAUUAAUUCGUGGUCGGGACAGACCAUUGCUAAUUGUUGGUCUCGGUCUCAACUAGGAAUGCCUUGUACGGGUCUUUGGUUCAACAAACCACCCGGAAUACGUCCCUGCCCUUUGUACACACCGCCCGUCGCUCUUGCCGAUGGACUUCUCUGUGAGUUUGAGGGACUGGUCUUCUCUUCGGAGUAAAACUAUGGAAACUCAAACGAACAGUGUGGUCUAAAGGAAAGAGAAGUCGAACAAGGCA